UACGUAGGGGGCAAGCGUUGUCCGGAUUUAUUGGGCGUAAAGAGCGUGUAGGCGGUUAGGUAGGUCCGUUGUGAAAACUCGAGGCUCAACCUCGAGACGCCGAUGGAAACCAUCUGACUAGAGUCCGGAAGAGGAGAGUGGAAUUCCUGGUGUAGCGGUGAAAUGCGUAGAUAUCAGGAGGAACACCGGUGGUGUAGACGGCUUUCUGGACCGUAACUGACGCUGAGACACGAAAGCGUGGGUAGCAAACAGG
rnacentral:rRNA from 1 species